CGGCUAUGUAACGUUGAAACACGGGUUCUCGUCCGAUCACCGAAGUUAAGCAACGCCGAGACUGGGUGAUGGGUGACCGCUUGGGAAUUCGAGGUGCUC